rnacentral:rRNA from 1 species
UACGGAGGGUGCAAGAGUUACUCGGAAUCACUGGGCGUAAAGGGUGCGUAGGCGGGUUAUCAAGUCUCGAGUGAAAUCCAACGGCUUAACCGUUGAACUGCUUGGGAAACUGGUAGCCUAGAGUGAGGGAGAGGCAGAUGGAAUUGGUGGUGUAGGGGUAAAAUCCGUAGAGAUCACCAGGAAUACCCAUUGCGAAGGCGAUCUGCUGGAACUCAACGGACGCGGAGGCAAGAACGCGGGGGGAGCACACAGGCUGCGAUAACACUGUAGUCC